GACGAACGCUGGCGGCGUGCUUAACACAUGCAAGUCGAACGGUAAGGCCCCUUCGGGGUACACGAGUGGCGAACGGGUGAGUAACACGUGGGUAAUCUGCCCUGCACUUCGGGAUAAGCCUGGGAAACUGGGUCUAAUACCGGAUAUGAGCUCCUGCCGCAUGGUGGGGGUUGGAAAGUUCUUCGGUGCAGGAUGAGUCCGCGGCCUAUCAGCUUGUUGGUGGGGUAAUGGCCUACCAAGGCGACGACGGGUAGCCGGACUGAGAGGUUGAACGGCCACAUUGGGACUGAGAUACGGCCCAG
rnacentral:rRNA from 1 species